GAGUAAAGAUUUCGGUCGCUUUGGGAGGAGCUCGCUUACUAUCAGCUUGUUGGUAGGGUAAUGGCCUACCAAGGCUAUGACGGUUAGGGGGUGUGAGAGCAUGACCCCCAGCAUUGGCACUGAAACACUGGCCAAACACCUACGGGUGGCUGCAGUCGAGAAUCCUCCACAAUGGGGGAAACCCCGAUGGAGCGAUGCUGCGUGCGGGAUGAAGGCCUUCGGGUUGUAAACCGCUUUUGUAGGGGACGAAAUUUUUGACGGUACCCUUUCGAAUAAGAGGUUGCUAACUCUGUGCCAGCAGCAGCGGUAAUACAGAGACCUCAAGCGUUAUCCGGAUUUACUGGGCGUAAAGCGUCUGUAGGGGGUUUAUUAAGUUCCAAGUAAAAUUUCAAGGCUCAACUUUGAAUUCGCUUGGAAAACUAAUAAACUGGAGUCUAGCAGAGGUGCAUGGAACUUGUGGUGUAGGAGUGAAAUCCGUUGAUAUCACAAGGAACACCAAAGGCGAAGGCAUUGCACUGGGCUAGCACUGACCCUGAGAGACGAAAGCGUGGGGAGCAAAACGGAUUAGAUACCCGUGUAGUCCACGCCCUAAACGAUGAAUGCUAAAUGUUCGGGGAUUCGACCCCCUGGGUGUUACAGCUAACGCGUUAAGCAUUCCGCCUGGGAAGUACGGCCGCAAGGCUAAAACUCAAAGGAAUAGACGGGGAUCCGCACAAGCGGUGGAGCGUCUGGUUUAAUUCGACAGUAAGCGUGGUACCUCACCAGGGUUUGACAUCCCUUGACAGCCUUGGAAACAAGGUUUCCUUCGGGCAAGGUGACAGGUGCUGCAUGGUCGUCGUCAGUUCGUGCCGUGAGGUGUUCCGUUAAGUCGGGAAACGAACGAAACCCCUAUUGCAUGUUACAAUUUCUCAUGCAAGACUGCCCGGAUAUACUGGGAGGAAGGUGGGGAUGACGUCAGAUCUGCAUGGUCCUUAUACCCUGGGCGACACAGGCGCUACAAUGGCAGAGACAAAGGGUUGCAAAACCGCAAGGUGAAGCUAAUCCCAAAAACUUUGUCUAAGUUCGGAUUGAAGGCUGCAAUUCGCCUUCAUGAAGCUGGAAUCGCUAGUAAUCGUGAAUCAGCCACGUCACGGUGAAUAUGUUCCCGGAUCUUGUACUCACCGCCCGUCACACCAAGAGAGUUGGUAGCUCCCGAAGC
rnacentral:rRNA from 1 species